UUAGAUUUAAUAUCAAAGAAAAAAGUGACAUUGCAAAUGUUACAUAAAUUUCUU
rnacentral:tRNA from 1 species